rnacentral:rRNA from 1 species
AGUGAACGCUGGCGGUAGGCCUAACACAUGCAAGUCGAACGGCAGCACAGUAAGAGCUUGCUCUUACGGGUGGCGAGUGGCGGACGGGUGAGGAAUACAUCGGAAUCUACUUUUUCGUGGGGGAUAACGUAGGGAAACUUACGCUAAUACCGCAUACGACCUACGGGUGAGAGCAGGGGAUCUUGGGACCUUGCGCGAUUGAAUGAGCCGAUGUCGGAUUAGCUAGUUGGCGGGGUAAAGGCCCACCAAGGCGACGAUCCGUAGCUGGUCUGAGAGGAUGAUCAGCCACACUGGAACUGAGACACGGUCCAGACUCCUACGGGAGGCAGCAGUGGGGAAUAUUGGACAAUGGGCGCAAGCCUGAUCCAGCCAUACCGCGUGGGUGAAGAAGGCCUUCGGGUUGUAAAGCCCUUUUGUUGGGAAAGAAAAGCAGCAGGUUAAUACCCCGCUGUUCUGACGGUACCCAAAGAAUAAGCACCGGCUAACUUCGUG